AAAGAUAUUCCCAACUUCAUUUUCUCUCUGUCUCUCUCCUUCACAGUGGCAUCUCUUUCAAUCUUUCUUACAUAAAUCCUCUCUCUCAAUCCUCAUCCUCGUUUCUUGAAAUUUUCUCUUAACUACUUUUAUGUACUAAAACCCCUAAAGGAUUUCACUGUUGUGUUUGUAUGUUCAACUGCAAAAAAUGUUUGAAGGUGGUUACAAAUCGCAAUAUCUGGGUGGCCAAAGAGAGAAGUUUGUCAGGUUGGACGACUUGGACUCCAGAUUAUCAUCAUCUUCUGAUACAGGAGUGAAAAAAUGUGGAUUUGGCAUUAGUCAUUCUGGUCAGGGAACCAAUACAACUUCCAGAUCUUUCAAGAAAGGAAUCAGAAAGGGAUCUGAAGGACUUAAGUCUAUCGGUCGGUCACUUGGAUUUGGGGUAUCUCGAGCAGUAUUUCCAGAAGACCUUAAUGUUUCAGAGAAAAAAAUAUUUGAUCCUCAAGAUAAAUUUCUCCUGUUGUGCAACAGAUUAUUUUUCAUAUCAUGUAUUCUGGCAGUAUCUGUGGACCCUCUAUUUUUUUAUCUUCCAGUUUUUAAUGAUUCAUCACACUGUCUUGAGAUAGAUCGAAAAUUAGCAAUUACAGCGACAACUUUGCGGACAAUUAUUGAUGCUUUCUAUCUUAUUCGCAUGGCUCUUCAGUUCCGAACAGCUUAUAUUGCUCCUUCUUCUCGUGUAUUUGGGCGAGGUGAACUUGUGAUAGAUCCUGCACGAAUAGCAAAGAGAUACUUGCGUCAAUACUUCUUCAUUGAUUUUCUUUCUGUUGUUCCCCUACCACAGAUUAUGGUAUGGAGGUUUCUUCAAAGAUCAAAAAGUUCAGAUGUCCUAGCAACCAAACAGGCCUUGCUUCUCAUUAUCUUGCUUCAAUAUAUUCCUAGGUUUCUUCGAAUCAUACCAUUAACUUCAGAAAUGAAAAGAACAACAGGGGUUUUUGCUGAAACUGCAUGGGCUGGUGCUGCGUAUUAUUUGCUAUUAUACAUGCUUGCUAGUCAUAUAGUUGGUGCAUUCUGGUAUUUGUUAGCUGUACAGCGGCAGGAUACAUGCUGGCAAAAGGCUUGUAGUGAUCCUAAAAAUACUUCAAAUUGCACUAAGGAUUUCUUGUAUUGUGGCAAUCAACAUAUGGAUGGGUAUACUGCCUGGAGCAACAUCAGUGAUGAUGUUCUCAAGUCACAGUGCGCAGCAGAAGAAGAUGGACCAUUUGAUUAUGGAAUCUACACAAAUGCUUUGUCAUCCGGCAUUGCCUCUUCUAAGAAGUUCAUCUCUAAAUACUGUUACUGCUUGUGGUGGGGCCUUCAGAAUUUGAGUACGCUUGGCCAGGGUCUUCAAACCAGCACAUAUCCAUUAGAGGUUAUAUUUUCCAUAGCACUGGCUAUAUUGGGGCUCAUUCUUUUUGCACUUCUGAUUGGGAAUAUGCAGACUUAUCUUCAGUCACUUACUAUACGAUUAGAAGAAAUGAGGGUCAAAAGGCGUGACUCAGAGCAAUGGAUGCAUCAUCGGUUGCUUCCACAAGACCUUAGGGAACGGGUGAGGCGCUAUGACCAGUACAAGUGGUUAGAAACACGUGGGGUGGAUGAAGAGACUUUGGUGCAGAGCCUACCGAAGGAUCUUAGGAGAGACAUCAAACGUCAUCUCUGUUUGGCAUUGGUGAGAAGGGUUCCUCUAUUUGAGAAUAUGGAUGAGAGAUUGCUUGAUGCCAUUUGUGAGCGGCUUAAACCUUGUUUAUUUACAGAGAGUACUUAUAUCGUUCGAGAAGGAGAUCCAGUUGAUGAAAUGCUUUUUAUCAUACGUGGUCGCCUUGAGAGUGUAACUACAGAUGGUGGGAGGAGUGGUUUCUUCAACCGCAGUAUGCUGAAGGAAGGAGAUUUCUGUGGGGAGGAGCUUUUAACAUGGGCAUUGGAUCCUAAAUCCGGUGCCAAUCUCCCAUCUUCUACCCGGACAGUGAAGGCAAUAACAGAAGUAGAGGCUUUUGCCCUCAUAGCUGAAGAGUUGAAAUU
rnacentral:misc_RNA from 1 species